ACCUUGUGUAGAGAUGCCUAAGUCAAGAGUACUAAGGAGGAGCUUGGCAGGCUAUGAUGCUUUAGGAAAGGGGCUUUAGGCCGAAGGGAAUAGUUGCCAAACUAUUUGCCUGGCUGUUUGCAUAAUAUGCACUCAGCUGUCACCUUAAGGUGGAGAGCUACAAAGGUU
rnacentral:ncRNA from 2 species